rnacentral:pre_miRNA from 3 species
UCUUAUGAAUGAAUGAAUGAGCAAAGAAAGUGGUUUCUUGAGAUGGAACCUAUUCCUGGUGAAGAUGCUGUGAA